rnacentral:rRNA from 1 species
CCCCGUUGAAAAGUUGGCGGAUGAGUUGUGGCUAGGGGAGAAAUUCCAAUCGAACACGGAUAUAGCUGGUUCUCCCCGAAAUAGCUUUAGGGCUAGCGUCGAGGAUGAGUCUUGUGGAGGUAGAGCACUGAAUGUACGAUGGCCCCAUCCCGGGGUACUGAGUAUAAUCAAACUCCGAAUGCCAUGAGAUAUUCCCGGCAGUCAGACCGUGGGUGAUAAGGUCCAUGGUCAAAAGGGAAACAGCCCAGACCGCCAGUUAAGGUCCCAAAAUGUAUGCUAAGUGGAAAAGGAUGUGGGGAUGCACAGACAACUAGGAGGUUGGCUCAGAAGCAGCCAUCCUUCAAAGAGUGCGUAACAGCUCACUAGUCGAGUGACCCUGCGCCGAAAAUGUACCGGGGCUAAGCAUACUACCGAAGCUGCGGAUUUGUAGUAAUACAAGUGGUAGGGGAGCGUUCCAUGCACGUGGAAGCCAUACCGUAAGGAGUGGUGGAGAGCAUGGAAGUGAGAAUGCCGGUGUGAGUAGCGAGAUGCAGGUGAGAAUCCUGCACACCGAUAGCCCAAGGAUUCCAGGGGAAGGUUCGUCCGCCCUGGGUAAGUCGGGACCUAAGGCGAGGCCGAAAGGCGUAGUCGAUGGAAAACAGGCAGAUAUUCCUGUACCCGCGAUGGAAAUGAAGGAAUGACGGAGAAGGCUAGCAUGAGCCACUUAUUGGAUUGUGGUCGAAGCGAAUAGCAGGUGCACAGUAAAAUGCGUGCACGGGAUGUAAAACGUGACAGGUAAGCGAAACCCCUGGGGAGUAGCGAAGCAUGCGAGGCCAGCUUCCAGGAAAAGUUUCUAGUGCUAAUUCCAUAGCGGCCCGUACCAAAACCGACACAGGUGGGCAAGGAGAGUAUCCUGAGGUGAGCGAGAGAACUGUUGCCAAGGAACUCGGCAAAAUGACUCCGUAAGUUAGCGAGAAGGAGUGCUUAUGAAAGUAAGCCGCAGUGAAGAGGCCCAAGCGACUGUUUAACUAAAACACAGCUCUCUGCGAAGUCGCAAGACGAAGUAUAGGGGGUGACGCCUGCCCGGUGCUGGAAGGUUAAGAGGAUUUGUCAGUUUCGACGAAGCAAUGAAUUGAAGCCCCAGUGAACGGCGGCCGUAACUAUAACGGUCCUAAGGUAGCGAAAUUCCUUGUCAGGUAAGUUCUGACCCGCACGAAAGGCGUAACGAUUUGGGCGCUGUCUCGGCAGCAGACUCGGUGAAAUCUUAGUACCUGUGAAAAUGCAGGUUACCCGCAACUAGACGGAAAGACCCCAUGGAGCUUUACUGCAGCCUGAUAUUGGAUUUUGAUCAGAGAUGUACAGGAUAGGUGGGAGACGAAGAAGGAUGCACGCCAGUGUAUCUGGAGUCGACGUUGGGAUACCACUCUUGUCUGAUUGGAGUUCUAACCUGCGUCCAUGAAGCUGGACGGGGGACCGUGUCAGGCAGGCAGUUUGACUGGGGCGGUCGCCUCCCAAAGAGUAACGGAGGCGCCCAAAGGUACGCUCAGAUUGGACGGAAAUCAAUCGGCGAGUGCAAAUGCAGAAGCGUGCUUGACUGUGAGACAAACAGGUCGAACAGGGACGAAAGUCGGGAUUAGUGAUCCGGCGGUGCCGAAUGGAAGGGCCGUCGCUCAACGGAUAAAAGCUACCCUGGGGAUAACAGGCUGAUCUCCCCCAAGAGU